AGUGAACGCUGGCGGUAGGCCUAACACAUGCAAGUCGAACGGCAGCACAGUAAGAGCUUGCUCUUACGGGUGGCGAGUGGCGGACGGGUGAGGAAUACAUCGGACUCUACUUUUUCGUGGGGGAUAACGUAGGGAAACUUACGAUAAUAUCGCAUACGACCUACGGGUGAAAGCAGGGGAUCUUCGGACCUUGCGCGAUUGAAUGAGCCGAUGUCGGAUUAGUUAGUUGGGGGGGUAAAGGCCCACCAAGGCGACGAUCCGUAGCCGGUCUGAGAGGAUGAUCAGCCACACUAGAACUGAGACACGGUCAAGACUCCUACGGGACGCAGCAGUGGGGAAUAUUGGACAGUGGGCGCAAGCCUGAUCCAGCCAUACCGCGUGGGUGAAGAAGGCCUUCGGUUUGUAAAGCCCUUUUGUUGGGAAAAAAAAGCAGCAGGUUAAUACCCCGCUGUUCUGACGGUACCCAAAGAAUAAGCACCGGCUAACUUCGUG
rnacentral:rRNA from 1 species